CAGUGGCGUAAAUAUCGACGGUGCAACCAGUGCAGCUGCCCGGGGGCCCAGACGCUGGCAAAUAUAAUUGAAUGUGAAUUAAUGAUCUCAGGUGGUGAUGAUGACAUUAGCAAUCUGCGGCUGUUUAAACAAAUCUGUGACACUAAAUGGAAUGAGAGCGUGUCUUCCCAGGCCCUCAGGACUUUGAGUGAGUCUAAAUGGAAUGCUCCACAACUUCUUCCCUUUGCUGAAGAUCUGAAAAAAAAAGCUUCUCAAGCUUCUGACCUUGAGAAGAAGCUUUGUAAGCACUUCCAACAAAUAGAGAUAAGAGGCAAGCGAGAUAGAAAAGUCCCCAUCCUCCUUGAACCUGAUAUGCUGGCAUCGAUGGAGUUACUUGUCAAGACCGCCGGAACUGCGAUGUGCCUGAUGAGAAUCUGUUCAUGUUUGGGAGACCACAAGCUGUCAGUCCCUUCAGAGGAUCAGAUGUUGUUCGUCAGGUUGCUCAAAGCUGUGGGGCAAAACCGCCAGAAGCAAUAUCCUCUACUAAAUUGCGGAAACACAUUGCCACUAUGUCCAAGGUCCUCAAUUUAAAGGACAAUGAAAUGGAUGACCUUGCUGACUUCCUCGGCCAUGACAUCAGAGUACAUCGCCAGUAUUAUAGGCUACCUGAGGGGACAUUACAGCUGGCGAAGAUAAGUAAGAUUCUUAUGGCCCUGGAACGAGGAGAGCUGUCUGAAUUCAAAGGAAAGAAUCUUGACCAGAUCAACAUUGAUUCAGAAGAGAAAAUGGCUGUCGACAGUGAUGCAGCAAGCAUUGAAGAUGAGGAUGACAUGACUGUGCCUCCACCUUCACCUGCAUCUACAAAAUCAUCAGCUUCAUCUUCAAAAGUAUCAGAUGGGUCGGAUGAAAAGAUGCCACUGGUUGGGGAGGUCUCUAGAGAUUCACAUACAACGAAAAGGUCAUCACAAACCAAAAGAUAAAAAUGGACAAAAGAAGAAAUCCAGGCAGUGGAAAAAACACUCAUGGGCCUAAUCAGCUCUGGAAAGGUUCCUGGGAAAGCCCAGUGUGUGAAGUGCAUUGAGACUUCACCAAAUGCUCUUCAAGAUAGGAAAUGAGAGGGAGUGAAAUUCUAUGUCAAAAACCGUAUAGAUGCUUCAAAGCGAGAGAAACAAAGUGAAAGGUAGAAACAAAGGUAAGCUUUGACUAUUGCUUUCGGAAAGCUGGAAGAUGUUUUUGUUUUUUGCUGGCGUUUUAAAUGUUGAAACAUACAUGUGUUACGUCCCCCUGGUAACUCUUACCAUGGCGGUCCCGCACCACACCCUGUGGUGGGGGGGCGCUGUUUUCCCACUUGGGCCAUUUGGCUUUUCCCUCUUUUCAGCAGGUGCCCCUGAUUGACCUGAUUGGCCUAUAAAAGUAGGAAGACAUCCAGGCUUUCGGUAUCUCUCGCUGCCUGGCUGUCAUCAGCUGCUGUUGCCAAACCCUCUUCAUCUUUAUCUUGUUACACAUUCUCACUACACCAGUCCAUAACACACUACACAUAGUUAAGCUGCCAUUUACACUGAUACCUAAUUUCCUUGUUAGGGUUUAUAUUUUCUACAAAAACACAAGAACUUGUUCACUGCGUGUCUCCCUAUUUGUUAUGUCAUGCUUGAGCCAUGCGGUCAUAACACAUGUUAUUUUGGAAUAUACAUGUUAGUCUCAGCUAACACACUUUUGCAGACAGGUGUUUGCAAAAAUCUGUUGUUGUUUUUGCCUUCAGUUUUGCUGGCGGUGGAUAGUUUCUCAUUCAUUGAAUGAUUGUUUUGAUUUUUUUGAGAUUACUAUUUUUUUUGAGAUGACCAUGUGAAACUUGCCGGUCAUGAUAGUUUAAGUAUUUUGAUGUUUUUAAGCGCGUGAAUUAAGACUCUCUAAAUUUGAGAAUAUUUGAUACUAGACUUGAGUUUUGGGAAUUAAAAAAUCUACUAAAAAUUGUGAGGUAAAACCAAGCCUGUAUUUCAUUUAGAAAGCGGUGUCCCCAUCUGUAACCACCCUGUCAGGAC
ensembl:lncRNA